AAUGUCGAAACAAGGUUUCCGUAGGUGAACCUGCGGAAGGAUCAUUACUGUGAUUUUACUACUACACUGCGUGAGCGGAACGAAAAUCAACAACACCUAAAAUUGUGGAAUAUAGCAUAUAGUCGACAAGAGAAAUCUACGAAAAAGCAAACAAAAU
rnacentral:misc_RNA from 1 species